rnacentral:rRNA from 1 species
UACGAAGGGGGCUAGCGUUGCUCGGAAUCACUGGGCGUAAAGGGUGCGUAGGCGGGUCUUUAAGUCAGGGGUGAAAUCCUGGAGCUCAACUCCAGAACUGCCUUUGAUACUGAAGAUCUUGAGUUCGGGAGAGGUGAGUGGACCUGCGAGUGUAGAGGUGAAAUUCGUAGAUAUUCGCAAGAACACCAGUGGCGAAGGCGGCUCACUGGCCCGAUACUGACGCUGAGGCACGAAAGCGUGGGGAGCAAACAGG